rnacentral:lncRNA from 1 species
UAUGUGCCAAGCCCACCUAGCACUGGAACUCGUACCCCGCCACCCUAUGGGCCAAGCCCACCAAAACUCGCUCCUGGCUCGCCAGUCUAUCAACCUCCAAUGGCUCACCCAACACCGGCUGGACCGCCACCGCCACCGCAUCAAAAUCCUCGGUUUCCGGUCUGGUGUGUUGCCAAGCCCACAGUGCCUGACUCGAUAAUUCAAGAGGCCAUGGAUUAUGCAUGCGGAACAGGAGCGGAUUGCAAGCCUAUUCAGACCAAUGGGUCGUGCUUUCAGCCCAAUACUUUGGUUGCACAUGCUUCUUAUGCUUUCAAUAGCUACUGGCAGAAGACAAAGAAUCGUGGAGGAACUUGUGAUUUUGGUGGGAUUGCCAUGCUUGUCACAACUGAUCCAAGUAAGUCCGGUCAAUAAUAUUUUUACACAAAAGAGAGUAUAAACGUUUCCACUUACACAUUUUAAAAUAUAGAUUUGAGAUGGGUCAACAUCAUACUAAUAUGAAUUUUAACUCAACUUUGACUUAUGUAAUAAAAUAAUAUUGUUUAGUCUCACAUCUGAAUUUUAAAAAGUGAGAACAUUUAGCGACAAAAAUAUAAGAAUUGCUUUUUUUUAGAGUUUGUAUAAGUGCAUAACCUUAUUGAAAUAGAAAAAGAAAUACAAAAUAAAAAGACAGUUAAAUUGAUUAAGAGGAUUGGUACCUGUCUAAAUUCUAAUAAUCUUCAUAUAAACUUUUACAAAUAAGAACCGGAGGCUUAUCCCACCAGGUAUAGAAGAAAAAAAAAAUUCAAUAUUAAUUGAGUAAUGGCUACUUGAACUUCUAAAUUUAACAAUAAAAACUAUAUAUAUAAAAAAAAAGAUAUCAAGAUGUUGGUAAUAGGGAAUAUACAUGAUCUAGACAGAAGAUAUGAAGCAUGUUAUGUAGCAUGGGGAUGGUAAUUUGUGGGCUUGGGCUGGGCUUUUCGAAGCCCAGGCUCACAUCAUUCAAACAAAGUCCACACUCUUUAAAAACCUGUCUAAAUUUGGACUGGUUGGGUUCGGGCUUUUUUUUUUUAAAAUUAAUUAUAAAAUAUUUUUUUAUUAAAAAAAUAUAUUUUAAUUAAAGAUAAUCAUCUAAUAUAUAAUAGAAUAAUAAUCCAAUACAUAAAUAUAUUAGUAAUACAACAUAAUAAAAUAAUAAAUACUAAUACAAAAAAUUAAAAUAAUUUAAUAUUUUAAGUUUUUUUAAUUUACAUUAAAUUUAUUUUUUAUUAAUACAAGUCUGAGUUUUUUUGCUAAGCCUUUAUACAGGCCCACUCCUUACCGGCGGGGCCUUAGUCCCGCGGGCCUUGGCUGGCCGCAGCCCGGGCCUUUUGCCACUCCUAACGUAGCAGGACCUAAAGUCCUAAUAAAUACAUUAACCAAAUAAAUUUUGCAAAUCUGAACCAUGCUUACAUUGUCUUCGAUCUUCAUGUUAAACUAUUAAUGUGAAAGUAUAUUUUGCUGCAAAAUCUACUCUGACAUUAUUAAUUAAGCUUAAAAUCAUAAUUAGCGCCUGGAAAAUUACAAAAAACCCCAUCAAUUUUAUUGCCAGCUAAUUACAGAGCCCAUUUGUCAAGACAUUGACAUCUUAACUAGCUAAUAAAUAAAAAUAUCCGUAUCUUAAAUAAUCAAAGUUCAUGGUGUUUCAUCUUGAAUUUAAGUUAUUUAACAGUCAAAAUUUUGUGCAUAUAUGCUUGUCGUUACCUUAGAUUAAUUAUAAUAUCUCAUUUUCCCCUGUUAAUCAAAUUCAUGACUCGUGGAUGGAAACCGAGAGCCCUGGUGCAUGAACUAUUUUGUAAAUCACGUGGACCCCUUUGUGCAUGAAACCACAAGCAAUUAAUUUGUCUUCUUCUUAUUUAUUUUUAUUUUUCGUUUUAUUUUACAGUGAUAUUAUUUGUUAAAAUGCUACAGAAAAAGGAAUAAAAUUACCUUGAUUGAUGGCAGCGAAGACGGCAAGGCCGUGAGUUAAUGAGUUUAGAUCUAGAGUUUUGUUUCUUUUUUUUUACUAUUUGAGUAUUUUUUUUUAUUUGAUUAAAUUAAAAUAUAUUUUGAUUUAAAAAAAAUAUCUCGAGUUUGGUUUUGGGUUCGGGACCUGAUAAAAUUUGUGUAUCUAAAUCCAAAAUAUAUUUGGGACUUGGGCUAAUUCUCGAAAUAUACUCAUUUGUAAUUUUGAAAUCUUUUGAAGAUCAAUACCUGACCUAAAUUAAUCGGAGGCCCAUGAGUAUGAUCCCAUGGAGAAUGUUGUCAUCCCUAGACAAAACGUUUUCAUUUCCAACAACAAUGAAAAAGAAAAUGUCGGUCUGUAGGACACAUAUAGAACAUCUAGACAGAAUCAUAUGCAUUUCGCGGAAAACAAAACUUAGCUUGAUUUUAUCUUUUGGUAUUUUGUAUUCAUUGGUCUAUCCAUACAAAUAAAUUUGUCAGGCAUUUUGACCGUUCAUAUGAAUACAAAUUCUCUAUAUAUGGGUAUAUUAAUGAACACAAAGAUUAUAUUGUGCUUAAAUUUCAUAAUAUUGUUAUGUAGUAUGUAUUAAUUUCCAAACCCUUAUCUGUCCAUUUUUUCAGGUUUCAGUGAUUGCAAUUUCAUCUCCAACUGAUACAGAGAGGAGACAUACAAGUAACCCAGCCAUUGUAAUUAAGCAACUUAUUUAGUUAUUUUGCCCUUCUUCUCUUUUUUUUUAAAAAAAAAUUCAAACCGAGAAUUAAAAAUAUUCAGUAUAGCAUUCAUUAUGUAUGUUGAAUACAAUACAGUAUUGUAUUUUCCGAUCAUAUUAAGAAAAUAGAUGUCAAGUUGUUUGAACAGUCACUCGCGGUUUAGAUGGAUUCACGAACAUAAAAUUAGAAGAAAGUAGCAAAGCCUUUCAUGUCAUUUCUACAUUUAGAGAAAUAUUGUAAAGCUAUGACUAAUUCUGAAAAUUAUUGUCUUUUGAUUUUAUGGUAGCAUAAAUUUUUAGGCGAUCAAAUAAUUUCUCUAACAAUUACUGUGAAACUUCAUGAUGAAAAAGACAUACAAAUCAAAAUUUUAACAUAUUUUUAAUAAGUGAUACGGCCAACGGAGUAAUAAAUUUAUUGGCAACACUGAACUCAGCAGUUCACCUCCCAAUUUAAUUGAGUAGCGUAAAAAUCUUCUCCAUCAAUAUGGGUAGAAUAGAUUAGAUAUUCUUUUGAUAUCAAGUGAGAGUAGAAAUUUGAAUUAUGCUAUAAUAAAUUGACAUGUGAUGCCAAAUCUUUUAGAGUGAUGAUACAAUUAUAAACUCUUGCAUAAAUUUAUCUUGUACAAAUUGAUGUGAAAUUAAUUCAUUAGUUGAAUAAAAAUAUAAAAUAAUAAAAAUAAAUCAUGUGGACUUAGAGAUAUUUAAUUCAAUUAAUUUUAUCAUGCCGCCACAUCAAUUUAUGUACAAAAUAAAUUUAUACCCAAAUUUAUAACUAUAUCAUUACUCAAUCUUUUAACAUGCCCCGUCAAAAUCCAGCAAAUGAUAAUAAAAUAAAAUAAAAAAUAAAUAAAUAAAAGAAGGCUAGGGCAGUGGCAAUGUACUUUUAUUGCUAGUGGGGUUAAAGCCUGUCUGAGCGAAGUAUGCGUAGUCUAUUUCUAUCUUCAAUGGGGUCCAAUUUGAAAAGAAGAGAAACGAAGAAAACAUAACAUCUUUUGAAGUUUUGUUCAAUCGGUAUCCAAAGCACAGGGAAAAAACAAGAUGGGUCCAAUGUCAAUACAUUCUCGCAUAAUUUUCCAUUAAUAAUUGCACGGCCUAUUUCCAUAUACAUUUCAUGCAAAAUUAAGAGUACAUGGGCCCUCGCCCCUUGAAAUUUCAAUGCAUUAUGUUGCAACUUGCAAGUUACCAAACUAUGCCAAAAUUAUUUUGUACAUUUGUGACCGACACCAGCUGGAAAGGAUAAUAGAUGGAUUAAUUUUAAUUUGCUUUUGCUAGGCUGCUACGCGAGCACGAAAUAAAAAUUAUUGAGUCCAGAAAGAAAGAUCUCAAUGUCUUUUUGUCAGCUUAUAGUUUUUAAAUGCAAAGACCUGUUAAAAAAAAAAUGCUAAGAAAAGAAGAUGUGGGUUAAUUAAUGAGUCACAUGCAAUUUGAAAUUUGAGCCAUAUCCUCUCUCAAUCACGGGCUCAACAGGGCACAAAAUGUUAAAAAUGGCCUCAAAUCAAUCAAGUACCUAUUUUCUGGAUCGAGUUAAUUGAAUCCCUUGUUGGGUCACUGUAGAAAAGAGUAUCCUCGAAAAUCCCUGUUGACACUUGACAGUGAACCCACAUGCCUACUACAGUCGGCUUUUGUCAAUAUGUUUACAAAGGUUUGGUAAAGUACAUGAAAGUAAAAAGAUAAUGCUUUUGUAAAAAGAAAAUUUUCUAAAAUUUUCUGAUGUAAGUAGGUUUUUAUUAAUUGACGUUCAUGAAUACAAGUUUUAUGAUCUGGCUAUGGAGAUUAGGUGUUUUGCAUCUCAGAUUGUGAAAGUGAAACAACUUAAAUCAAUAUAUCAUUUGUUUAACUAUCACAGCCAGCUAGCUAGCAUAAUUUUCUCAAUUGGUAAAAGAGGAAUUGUUUAAUAUCAAUAUGUCUAUUACUGAUUUGAGUUUGUCCCCCCCGAGCACUAUUGUCAAAUCGAGACAAAUUACGAAAAAUAAAAAAAAGAUAAUGCUUGAUCCAUUAGUUUCUGUUUUCCCUUUGUCUUUAUAAGAAGGCAUGCAUAUUCAUUCACUCCAUGCGUGAUUCAAUACUCUCUCUACUUCGGAGAGUUGUGGGAGUUUAAUUUUCACGAUGGGUAGAAAACAUCCUUUAGCUAAUUUCUUGAUUCUCCUCUUGAACUUGGGUACGUUGCUAUCUUCUUUAGCAUGUCCAUAUUGCCCUUAUCCUACUCCUCCCCCUCCGUGUCCCCCAACAUUUCCACCAAAACACCCUCCACAUGUAAAGCCACCUUUCCACCCCAAACCACCGCAUCACAAGCCACCCCAUGUCAAACCACCGCACAAGCCCCCGUAUGUUCCUAAACCACCUUAUUCCCCAAGCCCUAAACCGCCUUACGUGCCAAAACCACCUCAUACUCCAGUCCCUAGGCCACCAUAUUUCCCCAAACCACCUUACACACCAAGGCCUAAGCCACCAUAUGCGCCAAAACCACCUUAUACGCCAACCCCUAAGCCACCAUAUUUCCCCAAACCACCUUACACACCAAGGCCGAAGCCACCAUAUGUGCCAAAACCACCUUAUACGCCAGCCCCUAAGCCACCAUAUUUUCCCAAACCACCUUACACACCAAGGCCUAAGCCACCAUAUGCACCAAAACCACCUUAUACGCCAACACCUAAGCCACCAUAUUUCCCCAAACCACCUUACACACCAAGGCCUAAGCCACCGUACGUGCCAAAACCACCGUACACACCAAGGCCUAAGCCACCGUACGUGCCAAAACCACCAUACACACCAACCCCUAAGCCACCGUACGUGCCAAAACCACCUUACACCCCAACCCCUAAGCCACCGUACGUGCCAAAACCACCGUAUACCCCAACUCCUAAGCCACCGUACGUCCCAUCGCCACCUUAUACCCCUCGCCCUAAACCACCGUAUGUACCAUCACCACCUUAUACCCCUAGCCCUAAACCACCGUAUGUGCCAUCACCACCAUAUACCCCAAGCCCUACCCCACCAUAUGUACCAUCACCACCGUAUACCCCAAGCCCACCAUAUGUACCAUCACCACCGUAUACCCCAAGCCCUAGCCCACCACCACCACCAAGUGGAACACCGUGUCCUCCGCCGCCGCCACCAAAGGUGAGACCGUACCCUCCACCACCAUCACAAACUUGUCCCAUUGAUACUCUCAAGCUUGGUGCAUGCGUCGACGUGUUGGGCGGUCUAAUACACAUCGGUAUAGGCAGCAGUGCAAAGGACGCUUGCUGCCCCGUGCUGCAGGGGCUACUGGACUUGGAUG